AUGGGCGAAAGCCUGACCGAGCAACGCCGCGUGAGCGAUGAAGGCCUUCGGGUCGUAAAGCUCUGUUGUUAGAGAAGAACAAGUACGAGAGUAACUGCUCGUACCUUGACGGUACCUAACCAGAAAGCCACGGCUAACUACGUGCCAGCAGCCGCGGUAAUACGUAGGUGGCAAGCGUUAUCCGGAAUUAUUGGGCGUAAAGCGCGCGCAGGCGGUCUCUUAAGUCUGAUGUGAAAGCCCACGGCUCAACCGUGGAGGGUCAUUGGAAACUGGGAGACUUGAGUGCAGGAGAGAAAAGUGGAAUUCCACGUGUAGCGGUGAAAUGCGUAGAGAUGUGGAGGAACACCAGUGGCGAAGGCGGCUUUUUGGCCUGUAACUGACGCUGAGGCGCGAAAGCGUGGGGAGCAAACAGGAUUAGAUACCCUGGUAGUCCACGCCGUAAACGAUGAGUGCUAGGUGUUGGGGGGUUCCACCCUCAGUGCUGAAGUUAACACAUUAAGCACUCCGCCUGGGGAGUACGACCGCAAGGUUGAAACUCAAAGGAAUUGACGGGGGCCCGCACAAGCAGUGGAGCAUGUGGUUUAAUUCGAAGCAACGCGAAGAACCUUACCAGGUCUUGACAUCCUCUGACCACUCUAGAGAUAGAGCUUUCCCCUUCGGGGGACAGAGUGACAGGUGGUGCAUGGUUGUCGUCAGCUCGUGUCGUGAGAUGUUGGGUUAAGUCCCGCAACGAGCGCAACCCUUGACCUUAGUUGCCAGCAUUCAGUUGGGCACUCUAAGGUGACUGCCGGUGACAAACCGGAGGAAGGUGGGGAUGACGUCAAAUCAUCAUGCCCCUUAUGACCUGGGCUACACACGUGCUACAAUGGAUGGUACAAAGGGUUGCGAAGCCGCGAGGCCAAGCCAAUCCCAAAAAGCCAUUCUCAGUUCGGAUUGUAGGCUGCAACUCGCCUACAUGAAGCCGGAAUUGCUAGUAAUCGCGGAUCAGCAUGCCGCGGUGAAUACGUUCCCGGGCCUUGUACACACCGCCCGUCACACCACGAGA
rnacentral:rRNA from 1 species